AUUGAUAUUUCUGUGAAUAAUUAUAUAUAAUUGAUCAUAAAUCAAAGUUCAUAUCUUCUGUUCUAAUAAAUAUUUUCUGAGUUUGUUCCUGGACUUGGAUCCAGAGUUUAAUUUAGUCCCUCUGUGUAACUGAGUUGGACCUGCUGACCUGAGGUCAGAACAGGACAGCAUUCGGACCCCCAGUGUGUAGAAAUCCCCCUCAUGUCAAGCAGGUCAAAGGUCAUUCAACCCAGUCUAGAAAAGUGAAUUCCUGGAAUCUGACAGGAACAAAUCAAUAAUCAAUGAUUGAUGCUUCAACACUUUGAUCAGAACCUGGAAUGAUUUUACUGACUAAAAUCCUCCAACACAACAUGACCCAGUACCAGGUUCUGGUUCUGGUUCUGAAGUCAGCAGGUCUUUAUUGAAGCAGCAGCUU